rnacentral:rRNA from 1 species
CAGUCGAGCGGAAGGCCCUUCGGGGUACUCGAGCGGCGAACGGGUGAGUAACACGUGAGCAACCUGCCCCAGGCUUUGGGAUAACCCCGGGAAACCGGGGCUAAUACCGAAUAUGACCUCUGACCGCAUGGUUGGUGGUGGAAAGUUUUUCGGCUUGGGAUGGGCUCGCGGCCUAUCAGCUUGUUGGUGGGGUGAUGGCCUACCAAGGCGACGACGGGUAGCCGGCCUGAGAGGGCGACCGGCCACACUGGGACUGAGACACGGCCCAGACUCCUACGGGAGGCAGCAGUGGGGAAUAUUGCACAAUGGGCGGAAGCCUGAUGCAGCGACGCCGCGUGAGGGAUGACGGCCUUCGGGUUGUAAACCUCUUUCAGCAGGGACGAAGCGUAAGUGACGGUACCUGCAGAAGAAGCGCCGGCCAACUACGUGCCAGCAGCCGCGGUAAGACGUAGGGCGCGAGCGUUGUCCGGAUUUAUUGGGCGUAAAGAGCUCGUAGGCGGCUUGUCGCGUCGACCGUGAAAACUUGGGGCUCAACCCCAAGCCUGCGGUCGAUACGGGCAGGCUAGAGUUCGGUAGGGGAGACUGGAAUUCCUGGUGUAGCGGUGAAAUGCGCAGAUAUCAGGAGGAACACCGGUGGCGAAGGCGGGUCUCUGGGCCGAUACUGACGCUGAGGAGCGAAA